AUUGAACGCUGGCGGCAGGCUUAACACAUGCAAGUCGAGCGGAGAUGAGGUGCUUGCACCUUAUCUUAGCGGCGGACGGGUGAGUAAUGCUUAGGAAUCUGCCUAUUAGUGGGGGACAACAUUCCGAAAGGAAUGCUAAUACCGCAUACGUCCUACGGGAGAAAGCAGGGGAUCUUCGGACCUUGCGCUAAUAGAUGAGCCUAAGUCGGAUUAGCUAGUUGGUGGGGUAAAGGCCUACCAAGGCGAUGAUCUGUAGCGGGUCUGAGAGGAUGGUCCGCCACACUGGGACUGAGACACGGCCCAGACUCCUACGGGAGGCAGCAGUGGGGAAUAUUGGACAAUGGGGGGAACCCUGAUCCAGCCAUGCCGCGUGUGUGAAGAAGGCCUUAUGGUUGUAAAGCACUUUAAGCGAGGAGGAGGCUACUGAGACUAAUACUCUUGGAUAGUGGACGUUACUCGCAGAAUAAGCACCGGCUAACUCUGUGCCAGCAGCCGCAGUAAUAC
rnacentral:rRNA from 1 species